rnacentral:rRNA from 1 species
AACAAACGCUGGCGGCGUGCCUAAUACAUGCAAGUCGAACGGGGAAAGUAGCAAUAUGAGUACUAGUGGCGCACGGGUGAGUAACGCGUGGGUAAUCUUCCUUGAAGCGUGGGAUAACCAGUCGAAAGAUUGGCUAAUACCACAUAAGACCACAGGAUCUGCGGAUCUAGGGGUCAAAGGUUUUUCGCUUUAAGAUGAGCCCGCGUAGGAUUAGCUAGUUGGUAGGGUAACGGCCUACCAAGGCAACGAUCUUUAACUGGUCUUAGAGGAUGAUCAGUCACACUGGAACUGAGACACGGUCCAGACUCCUACGGGAGGCAGCAGUAGGGAAUAUUGCACAAUGGAGGAAACCCUGAUGCAGCAACGCCGCGUGGAGGAUGACAGCCCUUGGGUUGUAAACUCCUUUUCUGUGGGACGAGAGAGGACGGUACCACAGGAAUAAGUCACGGCUAACUACGUGCCAGCAGCGCGGUAA